CCUACGGGGGGCAGCAGUGAGGAAUAUUGGUCAAUGGGCGAGAGCCUGAACCAGCCAAGUCGCGUGAGGGAGUACUGCCCUAUGGGUUGUAAACCUCUUUUGUCGGGGAGCAAAAGCCGGACGUGUCCGGCUGUGAGAGUACCCGACGAAAAAGCAUCGGCUAACUCCGUGCCAGCAGCCGCGGUAAUACGGAGGAUGCGAGCGUUAUCCGGAUUUAUUGGGUUUAAAGGGUGCGCAGGCGGAUUUUUAAGUCAGCGGUAAAAUCGUGGGGCUCAACCCCAUCCAGCCGUUGAAACUGGGGAUCUAGAGUGUGCGAGAGGUAUGCGGAAUGCGUGGUGUAGCGGUGAAAUGCAUAGAUAUCACGCAGAACCCCGAUUGCGAAGGCAGCAUACCGGUGCACAACUGACGCUCAGGCACGAAAGCGUGGGUAUCGAACAGGAUUAGAUACCCCUGUAGUC
rnacentral:rRNA from 1 species